rnacentral:tRNA from 1 species
AGGGUAUUAGUUAAAUUAAUAACAAUUAUAUUGCAAAUAAUAAUUAUUUAAAAUAAAUAUAUCUUU